rnacentral:sRNA from 2 species
UCUUCUUUGAUUCUAGAUAUCUCAUUAUAGACAGUAUUUUCAACAUCUUUAUUUUUAUCAUUCUCUGAUAGACUGUAUGCCUUUUGCAGCUACUGUCACUGUCAGACUAUAUUGUCUGUUUGUAUUAUAGAAAUCUUCUUUCUUUCAUUUCAUUAUAUUUCUUAAACUUCUCUUUUUUCUUUAUAUUAUAUCUCUAGAUCUUUCACUCUCUCAAUCUUAGAUUCUCUCAAUCUUUUAAUCUCUUAAUCUUCCACUCAAUCUUUUGACAUUUCAUUCUCUCAAUCAUUCAGCUGACUAUUUUAUAGUUUCAUGCCUGUUAUCUACUUUAUCUAUCUUUUACUUAUUCUUUAUAUCUUCAUCUUCAUCUUUCAUUCUCAUCUGCUAAUUAUAUCAUUCUUAGAUUGACUUAAUUACUGAGCUCAAACUCAUCUGUAAUCUCUUCUUAAUUUCUCUUCUUGAUCUUCAGUUGAUCCUCAGC